AUCUUGUGGGUAUAAGAAUUUGCAGGAUUAAUGAGUUCUUGGGUACAUGACUUGGACAUUACUGCUUAACAAUUUGUCUAAAAACCUAUCAACUUUUCCUUCGACUUCAUGUGGGGAUUUACAUACGACCACUCACUCCAUUUCAAUUCAUUUGUCGCAUAAUGAUUUGACACAGAGUUUAAGAAAGUAAAGAAGACUUUUGGAUCAUAUGGUCCUACAUUAAAGGUAUGUAUCUCUAAUCAAUUUUACUUAUUUUUUGUCAUUUAUCUUUUGUGUAGGUUCUACUGUUUGCCAUUUUCUAAAAUACAGAAUUGUUAAUUAAACUGUUUUCUGUCAAUCUAGUGAUACUUUCUGCAAGUACACAGAUGUCUUUUACAACCCUGAAAUCCCUGAGGGCCGGUUAGCACAUGGUUUGAAGCUUGGUUGAUUAUAUGCUCACCCUUCUCUACUAAAAGGCAUUUGUACUGGGUUCCAACUCGUGACAUAUGUGUAAAUCACACAUCACGCAGCUCCUACCUCUGAACCAAAGGCCUGCAAGUAUCUGAAAGUUUUCUAUUUUCAUAGUAAUUAACUAGGUAUACAGGUGCUCAGGAAAUUAAAAGACCCGAAGAAGAUUCGAGAGUGCUGAACUCAGAUAGUGCUUGUUGCUGCAUAGAAUGAGCUUUUAGUUAAAGUUGAUUUUUAUUUGCAUCUAGGAGAAAAUAUCAAAUGAAGAGUACAACAUUUGAGGAUUAAGUGAUACACAUUUUUUGUAAGAAACAAUACUUUUGAAUAAUUUGGGAUAUGCUAAAAUGGAUUAACUUUACAAGAGGUAAGUGAGCAAUAAAAACAAUGCAGACCAAAGAGUUUAGCAGAAUAACAAUUUAGAAGAAGCUUACAUGGAAAGCUUGGUCCGACAAGCAGAAUAGAGAAACGUUCAACCUAAUGAACGGAUGCCCCUCAAACUGGUCCUUUGCAACGGAUACUGCUAUGAACGCAUCCCUGUUAGUAGUACAACAUUCUCAUGAGAAGUUGUUCUUGAGCAUACAAUUUGCAUUUUGUACCGCAGAAACUUCCUACCUGAAUCCAUAGAAACAAUCUAAACGUAGCAUCAUCAGUGAGAAUUAUUUGAUACCUUUCAUUGGCUUCACCAUAGCACCUGAAUAGAUAUGACAAAUACUGAAAUUCUUCUUGUUUCGUACAG
rnacentral:lncRNA from 1 species